UCCUCUGUGGCGCAAUUUUGGCUAGCGCGUCUGACUGUUAUCUAAUCAGGAGGUUGGAAGUUGGAGCCCUUUCCCGGAGGAG